rnacentral:rRNA from 1 species
UACAGAGGUCUCAAGCGUUGUUCGGAUUCAUUGGGCGUAAAGGGGUGCGUAGGCGGCGCGGUAAGUCGGGUGUGAAAGUCUUGGAGCUUAACUCCGAAACUGCAUUCGAUACUGCCGUGCUUGAGGACUGGAGAGGAGACUGGAAUUUACGGUGUAGCGGUGAAAUGCGUAGAUAAUCGUAAGGAAGACCAGUGGCGAAGGCGGGUCUCUGGACAGGUUCCUGACGCUGAGGCACGAAGGUCAGGGGAGCAAACGGGAUAGAAACCCCGGGUAGUCCAAGACCGAAUGUACCGUC